GACGAACGCUGGCGGCGUGCUUAACACAUGCAAGUCGAACGGUGAACCUCUUCGGAGGGUAUCAGUGGCGAACGGGUGAGUAACACGUGGGCAACCUGCCCCCGGCUCUGGGAUAACUCCAAGAAAUUGGGGCUAAUACCUGAUGUUCACCGCUUCCCGCAUGGGUGGCGGUUGAAAGGGUUUCCGGCUGGGGAUGGGCCCGCGGCCUAUCAGCUUGUUGGUGGGGUAGUGGCCUACCAAGUCGACGACGGGUAGCCGGCCUGAGAGGGUGACCGGCCACACUGGGACUGAGACACGGCCCAGACUCCUACGGGAGGCAGCAGUGGGGAAUAUUGCGCAAUGGGCGGAAGCCUGACGCAGCGACGCCGCGUGGGGGAUGACGGCCUUCGGGUUGUAAACCUCUUUCAGCAGGGACGAAGCGCAAGUGACGGUACCUGUAGAAGAAGCACCGGCCAACUACGUG
rnacentral:rRNA from 1 species